UAAUACAUGCAAGUCGAGCGAAUGGAUUGAGAGCUUGCUCUCAAGAAGUUAGCGGCGGACGGGUGAGUAACACGUGGGUAACCUGCCCAUAAGACUGGGAUAACUCCGGGAAACCGGGGCUAAUACCGGAUAACAUUUUGAACUGCAUGGUUCGAAAUUGAAAGGCGGCUUCGGCUGUCACUUAUGGAUGGACCCGCGUCGCAUUAGCUAGUUGGUGAGGUAACGGCUCACCAAGGCAACGAUGCGUAGCCGACCUGAGAGGGUGAUCGGCCACACUGGGACUGAGACACGGCCCAGACUCCUACGGGAGGCAGCAGUAGGGAAUCUUCCGCAAUGGACGAAAGUCUGACGGAGCAACGCCGCGUGAGUGAUGAAGGCUUUCGGGUCGUAAAACUCUGUUGUUAGGGAAGAACAAGUGCUAGUUGAAUAAGCUGGCACCUUGACGGUACCUAACCAGAAAGCCACGGCUAACUACGUGCCAGCAGCCGCGGUAAUAC
rnacentral:rRNA from 1 species